rnacentral:rRNA from 1 species
UGGGGGAUAUUGCACAAUGGGCGAAAGCCUGAUGCAGCGACGCCGCGUGGGGGAUGAAGGCUUUCGGGUUGUAAACCUCUUUCGCUAUCGAACAAGGCCCGCUUAGGGUGGGUUGAGGGUAGGUGGAGAAGAAGCGCCGGCUAACUACGUGCCAGCAGCCGCGGUAAUACGUAGGGCGCGAGCGUUGUCCGGAAUUAUUGGGCGUAAAGGGCUUGUAGGCGGCUUGUUGCGCCUGCUGUGAAAACGCGGGGCUUAACUUCGCGCGUGCAGUGGGUACGGGCAGGCUUGAGUGUGGUAGGGGUGACUGGAAUUACAGGUGUAGCGGUGGAAUGCGAAGAUAUCUGGAGGAUCACCGAUGGCGAAGGCAGGUCACUGGGCCAUUACUGACGCUGAGGAGCGAAAGCAUGGGUAGCGAACAGG